rnacentral:lncRNA from 1 species
CUCACCCAGAUCUCUCCAGCAUCGGAUCGAGUCUCUCUUCAAUUCCAUGUACCAGUCCAAAGAAGCCCCAGAUAGACUAUCUUGGAAAAAAUACAUCCACAUCUUUUCAUCAUCGGUAUAUGCAGAGAUUUUCCUGUAGUAAGCCUGCACAUGGGUGCGAGGGCAAGAAGUACCGUUGUAUUUGUCGAAGGACGGUGCUUUGAACUUGUGAGGGAUUCUCAAACCUUCUAC